AGGUAAGCUACUAAGAGCGAAUGGUGGAUGCCUUGACUGGUAAAGGCGAUGAAGGACGUACUAGACUGCGAUAAGCUACGGGGAGCUGUCAAGAAGCUUUGAUCCGUAGAUUUCCGAAUGGGGCAACCCAAUGUAUAGAGAUAUACAUUACCUAUAUAGGAGCGAACGAGGGGAAUUGAAACAUCUUAGUACCCUCAGGAAAAGAAAUCAAUAGAGAUUGCGUCAGUAGCGGCGAGCGAAAGCGCAAGAGGGCAAACCCAGUGCUUGCACUGGGGGUUGUAGGACUGCAAUGUGCAAGAGGUAAGUUUAGCAGAACAUUCUGGAAAGUAUAACCAUAGAGGGUGAUAGUCCCGUAUGCGAAAAACAAACCUUAGCUAGCAGUAUCCUGAGUAGGGCGGGACACGAGGAAUCCUGUCUGAAUCCGGGUCGACCACGAUCCAACCCUAAAUACUAAUACCAGAUCGAUAGUGCACAAGUACCGUGAGGGAAAGGUGAAAAGAACUGAGGUGAUCAGAGUGAAAUAGAACCUGAAACCAUUUGCUUACAAUCAUUCAGAGCCCUAUGUAGCAAUACAGGGUGAUGGACUGCCUUUUGCAUAAUGAGCCUGCGAGUUGUGGUGUCUGGCAAGGUUAAGCAAACGCGAAGCCGUAGCGAAAGCGAGUCUGAAUAGGGCGCUUAGUCAGAUGCUGCAGACCCGAAACGAAGUGAUCUAUCCAUGAGCAAGUUGAAGCUAGUGUAAGAACUAGUGGAGGACUGAACCCAUAGGCGUUGAAAAGCCCCGGGAUGACUUGUGGAUAGGGGUGAAAGGCCAAUCAAACUUCGUGAUAGCUGGUUCUCUCCGAAAUAUAUUUAGGUAUAGCGUUGUGUCGUAAUAUAAGGGGGUAGAGCACUGAAUGGGCUAGGGCAUACACCAAUGUACCAAACCCUAUCAAACUCCGAAUACCUUAUAUGUAAUCACAGCAGUCAGGCGGCGAGUGAUAAAAUCCGUCGUCAAGAGGGAAACAACCCAGACUACCAGCUAAGGUCCCUAAAUCUUACUUAAGUGGAAAACGAUGUGAAGUUACUUAAACAACCAGGAGGUUGGCUUAGAAGCAGCCAUCCUUUAAAGAAAGCGUAAUAGCUCACUGGUCUAGUGAUUUUGCGCGGAAAAUAUAACGGGGCUAAAGUAAGUACCGAAGCUGUAGACUUAGUUUACUAAGUGGUAGGAGAGCGUUCUAUUUGCGUCGAAGGUAUACCGGUAAGGAGUGCUGGAGCGAAUAGAAGUGAGCAUGCAGGCAUGAGUAGCGAUAAUUAAUGUGAGAAUCAUUAACGCCGUAAACCCAAGGUUUCCUACGCGAUGCUCGUCAUCGUAGGGUUAGUCGGGUCCUAAGUCGAGUCCGAAAGGGGUAGACGAUGGCAAAUUGGUUAAUAUUCCAAUACCAACAUUAGUGUGCGAUGGAAGGACGCUUAGGGCUAAGGGGGCUAGCGGAUGGAAGUGCUAGUCUAAGGUCGUAGGAGGUUGUACAGGCAAAUCCGUAUAACAAUACUCCGAGAACUGAAAGGCUUUUUGAAGUCUUCGGAUGGAUAGAAGAACCCCUGAUGCCGUCGAGCCAAGAAAAGUUUCUAAGUUUAGCUAAUGUUGCCCGUACCGUAAACCGACACAGGUGGGUGGGAUGAGUAUUCUAAGGCGCGUGGAAGAACUCUCUUUAAGGAACUCUGCAAAAUAGCACCGUAUCUUCGGUAUAAGGUGUGGUUAGCUUUGUAUUAG
rnacentral:rRNA from 1 species